AGGUGCUGAGAUAUAGUGUUCUUUCGACUACAUGAUCGUGAUUUUAAUUCACUGUUGUGGAGUUCCUAUGGUUUCCUUCUCCAUAGUGUUGAAUUUGGGAUUCUUAUUUUAUAGUUAUAUUGUUUGUCGGAGAUAAUUUUGUAUUUAAGAAAAAAAAAAGAUUAGGCAUUCUAUCCUCAAGAAUUUGGGAAAUAAUACAGGAUGUUCAUGAGUUUGUGCUUGGGCGUCCAGCAACAGACUUUCAAAUAGUUAGAGGGAUAUGCCUGUGUUGUUGCUUCCUGAUUAUAUGCAAUAACUUGAGAAUUGUCGCUAGCAAAUUUCAAACACUUUGCAAUAUCAGGGGCAUUGUGAGAUUCUUGAUAUGUGAAUUUUACAUACUGUCAUCAUUCUUUUCAAAAUGUUGAUAAUAGUGGACUACGGGCUUUUUCUGUUUUGUUAGGUAAUUCUGUUGUACUUACAAGAUGGUUCUUCUGUCGUGCAGAUAAUGGAGAUUGUCAGUG
rnacentral:misc_RNA from 1 species